rnacentral:rRNA from 1 species
CCGCCGCGGUUACACGAGAGGUCCAAGUUGAUAAACAACGGCGUAAAGGGUGGUUAGGAAUAAAAAUAAACUAAAGCCGAACGGUUCACAAAGUCAUCCUCAAGCUAACGAGAACAUGAAGCCCAACCACGAAAGUGGCUUUACAUAAUUCUGAUCCACAAAAGCUAAGAAAC